AAUCUUAAAUCCUGUAUUUUUCCCAUGUUUUCUAAACCUUAACUGUGUUUCAAAGCUGCACAGUUAAGGACAGUGUGAUAGGUUGUAUCAAUCAAUGUGAUAUUUUUCAGCUUUGCUUUAACCACAGAUCAAGUACAGCACUAGACAGCUUAAUGAGUUUGGGCUUACAGAUGGGGAAGGAAUGGAGAGGCUGUGGUCUUUCCUUUGAAGAUUUGCCAGAGUCACAAAAGAAAUGACUCCAUCUCACCGUCUUGACCUGCUGACUGAUGCACUUCUGCACUAUGGACGGAGGAAAUCUACUGACCUUGAGGUGAGCCUGCUACAAAAAUUGGACAAAGCAGAGAAACUAUCAAGUCUCGCUGAAGAGGACAUGUCUUCUGUCAUAAGAGCGGCACAGUACUGAUCUUUGAACAAGACAUAGAGAGAUGGAAGAAGAGAGAGUUGGAGAUGUCCCAAUAGAAACCAAAACCAAUACACACUGUCUCUAAAUGGAAAAGGGACACAUAAUGAAGUUGGUAAAGUCUUACAAGCUCAAAUCUGGGACUUGUGAGUCAUC